GACGGGGGAUGCAAGCGUUAUCCGGAAUCACUGGGCGUAAAGCGUCUGUAGGUGGUGAUGCAAGUCACUGGUGCAAAACUCUGGCUCAACCGGAGGAAAGCCAGUGAAACUGCAUGACUAGAGUGUGGGAGAGGUAGAAGGAAUUCCCUGAGUAGCGGUGAAAUGCGUAGAUACAGGGAAGAACACCGGAUGCGAAAGCGUUCUACUGGAACACAACUGACACUUAGGGACGAAAGCUAGGGGAGCGAAUGGG
rnacentral:rRNA from 1 species